AGUCGAGAAUCUUCGGCAAUGAGCGCAAGCUUGACCGAGCGACGCCGCGUGCGGGAUGAAGGCCUUCGGGUUGUAAACCGCUGUCGUAGAGGAGGAAGGCUCCGUGAAGAACGGGGUUUGACCUAUUCUAGGAGGAAGGACGGGCUAAGUUCGUGCCAGCAGCCGCGGUAAUACGAACCGUCCAAACGUUAUUCGGAAUCACUGGGCUUAAAGGGUACGUAGGCGGCGCUAUCAGUCGGGUGUGAAAGCCCACGGCUCAACCGUGGAACUGCGCCCGAUACUGUAGUGCUUGAGGGAGACAGAGGUAAGCGGAACUGAUGGUGGAGCGGUGAAAUGCGUUGAUAUCAUCAGGAACACCGGUGGCGAAAGCGGCUUACUGGGUCUCUUCUGACGCUGAGGUACGAAAGCUAGGGGAGCGAA
rnacentral:rRNA from 1 species